GAUGAACGCUGGCGGCGUGCCUAAUACAUGCAAGUCGAGCGAACAGACGAGGAGCUUGCUCCUCUGACGUUAGCGGCGGAUGGGUGAGUAACACGUGGAUAAACUACCUAUAAUACUUGGAUAACUUCGGGAAACCGGCUCUAAUACCGGGUAAUAUAUUGCACCGUAUGGUUCAAUAGUGAAAGAUGGUUUUGCUGUCACUUAUAGAUGGAUCCGAGCCGCAUUAGCUAGUUCGUAAGGUAACUGCUUACCAAGGCAACGAUGCGUAGCCGACCUGAGAGAGUGAUGGGCCACACUGGAACUGAGAAACGGUCCAGACUCCUACGGGAGGCAGCAGUAGGGAAUCUUCCGCAAGGGGAGAAAGCCUGACGUAACAACGCCGCGUGAGAGAUGAAGGUCGUCCGAUCGUAAAACUCUGUUAUUAGGGAAGAACAAAUGUGUAAGUAAAUAUGCACGUCUUAACGGUACCUAAUCAGAAAGCCACGGCUAACUACGUG
rnacentral:rRNA from 1 species